rnacentral:rRNA from 1 species
GACGUAGGGAGCAAGCGUUGUCCGGAUUUACUGGGCGUAAAGAGUACGUAGGCGGCUUGUUAAGUGUGGUGUGAAAUCUCCAGGGCUCAACCCGGAAACCGCACCGCAUACUGGCUAGCUAGAGGAAUGCAGAGGUUUGUGGAAUUCCUGGUGUAGCGGUGAAAUGCGUUGAUAUCAGGAGGAACACCCAUGGCGAAGGCAGCAAACUGGGCAUUUCCUGACGCUGAGGUGCGAAAGCGUGGGUAGCAAACAGG